rnacentral:rRNA from 1 species
UACAGGGGGGGCAAGCGUUGUUCGGAAUUACUGGGCGUAAAGGGCUCGUAGGUGGCCAACUAAGUCAGACGUGAAAUCCCUCAGCUUAACUGGGGAACUGCGUCUGAUACUGGAUGGCUUGAGUUUGGGAGAGGGAUGCGGAAUUCCAGGUGUAGCGGUGAAAUGUGUAGAUAUCUGGAGGAACACCGGUGGCGAAGGCGGCAUCCUGGACCAACACUGACACUGAGGAGCGAAAGCCAGGGGAGCAAACGGG